GUUUAAGUAGUUUAUAUUAAAAUAUAAAGUUGUGGUCUUUAGGAAGUGUUUGCCUUAAAUC
rnacentral:tRNA from 1 species